GCCUCGGUAGCGUAUAGUGGUCAAGACGCUCGCCUGGUAAACAGGAGGGCGUGGGUUCGAUCCCAGCUGAGGCA
rfam:Asian citrus Psyllid, Diaphorina citri - Florida Strain, whole genome shotgun sequence.